CGCUAUCACUCCUACGGGAGGCAGCAGGUAGGGAAUCUUACCACAAUGGGCGCAAGCCUGAUGGAGCAACACCGCGUGAGUGAAGAAGGGUUUCGGCUCGUAAAGCUCUGUUGUUAAAGAAGAACACGUAUGAGAGUAACUGUUCAUACGUUGACGGUAUUUAACCAGAAAGUCACGGCUAACUACGUGCCAGCAGCCGCGGUAAUACGUAGGUGGCAAGCGUUAUCCGGAUUUAUUGGGCGUAAAGAGAGUGCAGGCGGUUUUCUAAGUCUGAUGUGAAAGCCUUCGGCUUAACCGGAGAAGUGCAUCGGAAACUGGAUAACUUGAGUGCAGAAGAGGGUAGUGGAACUCCAUGUGUAGCGGUGGAAUGCGUAGAUAUAUGGAAGAACACCAGUGGCGAAGGCGGCUACCUGGUCUGCAACUGACGCUGAGACUCGAAAGCAUGGGUAGCGAACAGGAUUAGAUACCCUGGUAG
rnacentral:rRNA from 1 species